AAACGGGGAAGUACUGCUGGAGCUGAAUGGUCGGACAGGGGAAAUCACAUACGGGGAUGACUUUAACAGAAGCCGGGUAUCGAUACCAUCUGACUGGGACCGACGGGCAGACCUGUCCCUCACCAUAAAGGGAGCUCAGCAACAAGAUGGAGGAGUUUAUUACUGCGACAUAGAGAAGGCCGAGAAACACCGCUCUGCUGUCCGCCUGCGAGUGCGCAAACCACCGGGUGACUCUGCUGUGACAGCAUCGAUUACAACAACACUGAUCUCUGUCCUGGCAGCAAAGACUCACAGUUCAGGUUUUAACUAUGUCAUUCAGGAAUUUAACAAGAUAACAGGCACCUACAGGAGUCCUACCACUGGAUAUGGAUCACAAUCAUCAUAACAGCAGCUGUGACAUCUGUGAUUGUUUUUACUCUCAAGUUCUUUUGGGGCUGGAGAGAGAAGACCAAGGGUGUACAUGCAUGAAGAGAGCAGAGGAGACAGUGUCCGAAACAGUCCACUAAAUGACCA
ensembl:lncRNA